GGAUGUGAAGGCGAUCAGGCUGCCACAUCUGUCACCCCACUGAUCGCCAGGGUAGAUUCGGCUGAUCUGGCUGGCUAGGCGGUGUCCCCUUCCUUCCUCACCGCUCCAUGUGUGUCCCUCCCGAAGCUGCGCACUCCAUGAAAGAGGAAGGCCUUCCCCAAUAGAGACUGACCGGUCUUCGGUCAAGGGUAUAAGAGUAGCUGCGCUCCCCUGCUAGAACCUCCAGGCAAGCUCUCAAGGUCAUGCUGUUGUCAAAAACUGAGGGAAAUAUCACAGAGUCAACUGCAAAGAUAAGCUAAAAAUGUAGGUUAGUCU
rnacentral:snRNA from 1 species